GAGCGGUGAUGACUCUUUACGUAGCUGCAACGAUGGGUGCUGUUGCAACCGUCUGAUAUCUAGACGAAGCUAGCGUAUCUGAGCUC